rnacentral:lncRNA from 1 species
CGAAUCCGGGUCCGUCCGCCCUGAUUCUGGUUCGCCCUAGUUUCUGUUCGCCCUAAUACCUGUUUGCCCCGAGUCCGUUCGCCCUGAUUUUAUUUUUUAGUAUAGUGUUGCGUUGUGUGUAUAUAAUUGAAUGUGUUGAAGUCAGUCUACAAUUUCGCCGAAUAUUUACGAUGUAUCAUGUUAACUUGUCUAAAGCUAGCUGCUAUACUAUAUAUAAGUUUCAGUACAUUUCAGGACUACAAGAUAUUGUGACUUCAAGGUAUUGAGGACUAAGUUAAUUUGUAUCUGUAUGUAUAAUUACGUUACUAGGAACGGUCCUACUAAAAAGCGAUCCGGGAAAAGAAAAAGCGCCCGGAGAAGGAAAAUUAGCGCCCGGAGAAGAAAAUUAGCGCCCGGGAGAAGAAAAUAAUAAUAUUUUUUAACAAUUUUUUUUUCCCCUUAAAAAAUAACUAAUCAUUGCUUGUUUUGUCCUUAAUAUAAAUGGGGAUAUGUACGAUGCU